GGGAUGUAGCUCGGGCAUAGCACUUGCUUGGCAUACAAGAAGUCCUGGGUUUAAUUCCCAGUAUAUAAAAAGAAAGGUAAAAAGAAAAAAGAAAGUUAUUUUUUUUAUUUAUAUUAACAUUUUUAUUGAGGUGUAAUAUUGCAGAAAGUUGCACAAAUCUUUACUAUGCAAUGUAUAAGUUAUUUUAAAUGUGCUAACUUUAAUGCCUAUUAGAAAUCUAAGUGGAGUGGCUAGACAAGCAGUUGGAUGAAUCUAGAGUGCAACAGAAGUAUCAGGGAUAUAAUACAAAUUUUAGGAGUCCUAAGAAUACAGACAGUAUUUAAAACCAAGAGAUUAGAUGAGAUGAUUUUGGGGGAAAUGAAUGCUGAUGAAUGAGAAAAAGAGGGUGAAGAAUAUGCUUGGGGCUUCUUAAAAAUUUGGGAAGAGAAAAAUAUCUGACAAUGAGGUUGUUGGUAAUCUCAAGAGCUAUUUACAUGGUGCUGUGGAGACAGGAAUACUAAUUGGAAUAAUUCGAAGAGAAUGUAAAGAAAGUGAAGACUAGAAGUACAGGCAGUCUCUGAAGAGCAGAGGUAUAAAGGGACUCUUAUUCAUUCUGUAAAUAGAGGGGGAUACAGAGUCUAGGGUGACAGGAAGGGAAAAAUUGAACGUUCAGUAAGUAGUGGGUGUUAUCAUAGAAACAGUCUUUAAAUAUGCAAGUAAAGAUGGGUUCAGGGCACAAAUACUAGGGCUUAUCCUAGAUAAAGGGAAGGAUAGCUGAUACUCUAUAACAGGAAAAGAGUAUGUAUCAGUACAGAUGAAGGGAGGUUUGUAGAUUUCAACAUGGAAAGAUGAGUUUCUCUUGUAGCAGCUUCUACUUAGCCAUGAAACAAGCUUGAAAAGAGUGGGCAGAUGUGUGGAAGAGUUGGAGACAAGAAAUGGGACAUAAUCCUCUUGGAGAACAGAAGAAUAAAUUGACUAGCGUUAAACUGGAGGAGUUGCUGACAGAUUCAAAGAAGUUGGUGACUUAAUGGAAGUAUGCCUUCUCUAACCAAGUCCAUCACCAUCAUCUACUACCAUUCUGAAGGCCUGCUAUGUCAGAAC
rnacentral:lncRNA from 1 species